CUAGCCAGAAAUGCUCCUUGUGGCUGGGUUUUUGCUGGCUGGUUUCCCAUCUCCUCAUUCCCAUCAGUCAGGAGCUCUCGUGCCCUGAUUACAGAGGCAAAGCAGGAUUUUUCCCAUGUGUGUAAAGCAUACGUCACUUCUGAUGAGCCCAGGUGCUGUGUGCUUCUCAGUGCCAGUGUCUGCCUCCUCCUUCCAGUCCCUUAUUAUGAAGCAUGACACACUGCAUAAGGGAGAACCCGGAAAGCCAUGCCCUGCAGCACCAAGAGAUAUGAUCCCAGCUUUCCAAAUGAUGCUCAUCUUUCCCAUCGUUUUCCAACCCAACAUUAUUCAUUGUGUGAUAAGUAUCAUACAAUAAAGGUAUUCCCAAAUGAGUGUGA